UACAGAGGUCUCAAGCGUUGUUCGGAUUCAUUGGGCGUAAAAGGGUGCGUAGGCGGCGCGGUAAGUCGGGUGUGAAAUCUCGGAGCUUAACUCCGAAACUGCAUUCGAUACUGCCGUGCUUGAGGACUGGAGAGGAGACUGGAAUUUACGGUGUAGCGGUGAAAUGCGUAGAGAUCCGGAGGAAUACCAGUGGCGCAAGCGGCGCUCUGGGUCGAGCCUGACACUGAGACGCGAAGGCAUGGGGGAGCGAACGGG
rnacentral:rRNA from 1 species